ensembl:lncRNA
CGACACCAUGAAGCUCAUUCAGAGAAAGUCAAGGGUUUGCAGCACUGUCAACAAAGCAAAGGGCAGCUACUUUGAGGAAUCUAAAAAGAUAAGACAUAUUUUGAGAUUCUGGCAGGCGAGAGGAGAAAAGAACGAUGGAGAGACAGAAUUGGGCCAGCGAGUGGCAGAGCUCCCCACAGCCAGUCAGGGCCUGGAUGUCUGAGGAGGGACUGAAGGCCCUUGGGCAAGUACUGACAUCACCAGCUUGGAUUCUUUGUCUGGCAAGACAGCCUCAUGUAAAUAUUACAUCCAGGCCCACACAUCUUCUGCCUCCACACCCACACUCACUUCGAUUUUAAUCAAAACUCUGGGUGCUUUACAAAGACUUGGUAAGUG